CCUACGGGCGGCUGCAGUGAGGAAUAUUGCUCAAUGGGCGCUAGCCUGAACCAGCCAUGUCGCGUGAAGGAUGACUGCCCUAUGGUUUUUAAGCUUCUUUUAUAUGGGGGUAGGGUGCAGUAUUUAUACUGCUUUGCAUUUACCUUAUGAAUAGGAAUCGGCUAACGCCGUUCCAGCAGCCGCGGUAAUACGGUGGGUCCGAUCGUUAUCCGGAUUGAUUGGGUUGAAAGGGAGCGUAGGCGGGGUGUUAAGUCAGUUGUGAAGGUCUGCGGCUUAACCGGACAAUUGCAUUUGAUACUGGAACACUUGAGUACAUUAGAGGGAGGCGGAAUUCGUGGUGUAGCGGUGAAAUGCGUAGAGAUGACGAAGAAUACCGAUUGCGAAGGCAGCCUGUUGGAAUGUAACUGACGCUGAUGUGCGAAAGUGUGGGGAUCAAACAGGAUUAGAUACCCUAGUAGUC
rnacentral:rRNA from 1 species